rnacentral:rRNA from 1 species
GACGAACGCUGGCGGCGUGCCUAAUACAUGCAAGUUGAGCGCUGAAGGUUGGUACUUGUACCAACUGGAUGAGCAGCGAACGGGUGAGUAACGCGUGGGGAAUCUGCCUUUGAGCGGGGGACAACAUUUGGAAACGAAUGCUAAUACCGCAUAAAAACUUUAAACACAAGUUUUAAGUUUGAAAGAUGCAAUUGCAUCACUCAAAGAUGAUCCCGCGUUGUAUUAGCUAGUUGGUGAGGUAAAGGCUCACCAAGGCGAUGAUACAUAGCCGACCUGGGAGGGUGAUCGGCCACAUUGGGAAUGAGACACGGCCCAAACUCCUACGGGAGGCAGCAGUAGGGAAUCUUCGGCAAUGGACGAAAGUCUGACCGAGCAACGCCGCGUGAGUGAAGAAGGUUUUCGGAUCGUAAAACUCUGUUGGUAGAGAAGAACGUUGGUGAGAGUGGAAAGCUCAUCAAGUGACGGUAACUACCCAGAAAGGGACGGCUAACUACGUG